rnacentral:rRNA from 1 species
GACGAACGCUGGCGGCGUGCCUAAUACAUGCAAGUUGAGCGCUGAAGGUUGGUACUUGUACCGACUGGAUGAGCAGCGAACGGGUGAGUAACGCGUGGGGAAUCUGCCUUUGAGCGGGGGACAACAUUUGGAAACGAAUGCUAAUACCGCAUAAAAACUUUAAACACAAGUUUUAAGUUUGAAAGAUGCAAUUGCAUCACUCAAAGAUGAUCCCGCGUUGUAUUAGCUAGUUGGUGAGGUAAAGGCUCACCAAGGCGAUGAGACAUAGCCGACCUGAGAGGGGGAUCGGCCACAUUGGGACUGAGACACGGCCCAAACUCCUACGGGAGGCAGCAGUAGGGAAUCUUCGGCAAUGGACGAAAGUCUGACCGAGCAACGCCGCGGGAGUGAAGAAGGUUUUCGGAUCGUAAAACUCUGUUGGUAGAGAAGAACGUUGGUGAGAGUGGAAAGCUCAUCAAGUGACGGUAACUACCCAGAAAGGGACGGCUAACUACGUG